AUUGAACGCUGGCGGCAGGCCUAACACAUGCAAGUCGAGCGGAUGAAGGGAGCUUGCUCCUGGAUUCAGCGGCGGACGGGUGAGUAAUGCCUAGGAAUCUGCCUGAUAGUGGGGGAUAACGUCCGGAAACGGGCGCUAAUACCGCAUACGUCCUGAGGGAGAAAGUGGGGGAUCUUCGGACCUCACGCUAUCAGAUGAGCCUAGGUCGGAUUAGCUAGUUGGUGGGGUAAAGGCCUACCAAGGCGUCGAUCCGUAACUGGUCUGAGAGGAUGAUCAGUCACACUGGAACUGAGACACGGUCCAGACUCCUACGGGAGGCAGCAGUGGGGAAUAUUGGACAAUGGGCGAAAGCCUGAUCCAGCCAUGCCGCGUGUGUGAAGAAGGUCUUCGGAUUGUAAAGCACUUUAAGUUGGGAGGAAGGGCAGUAAGUUAAUACCUUGCUGUUUUGACGUUACCAACAGAAUAAGCACCGGCUAACUUCGUG
rnacentral:rRNA from 1 species